rnacentral:rRNA from 1 species
UGGGGAAUCUUGGACAAUGGGCGCAAGCCUGAUCCAGCCAUGCCGCGUGAGUGAAGAAGGCCUUCGGGUUGUAAAGCUCUUUUACCAGGGACGAUAAUGACGGUACCUGGAGAAUAAGCCCCGGCAAACUUCGUGCCAGCAGCCGCGGUAAUACGAAGGGGACUAGCGUUGUUCGGAAUCACUGGGCGUAAAGCGCACGUAGGCGGAUUUGUAAGUCAGGGGUGAAAUCCCGGGGCUCAACCUCGGAACUGCCUUUGAUACUGCGGAUCUCGAGUCCGAUAGAGGUGAGUGGAAUUCCUAGUGUAGAGGUGAAAUUCGUAGAUAUUAGGAAGAACACCGGUGGCGAAGGCGGCUCACUGGAUCGGUACUGACGCUGAGGUGCGAAAGCGUGGGGAGCAAACAGGAUUAGAUACCCGGGUAGUCCCUGAGCGGGCUGGCAAGGCGCAU